rnacentral:rRNA from 1 species
CAGUCGCCGCGGUAAUACGUAGGGUGAGAGCGUUAAUCGGAAUUACUGGGCGUAAAGCGAGCGCAGACGGUUAUUUAAGCAGGAUGUGAAAUCCCCGGGCUUAACCUGGGAACUGCGUUCUGAACUGGAUAGCUAGAGUGUGUCAGAGGGGGGUAGAAUUCCACGUGUAGCAGUGAAAUGCGUAGAGAUGUGGAGGAAUACCGAUGGCGAAGGCAGCCCCCUGGGAUAACACUGACGUUCAUGCUCGAAAGCGUGGGUAGCAAACAGGAUUAGAUACCCGCGUAGUCCCUGUCUCUUAUAC